rnacentral:rRNA from 1 species
CCUACGGGAGGCAGCAGUGGGGAAUAUUGGACAAUGGGGGGAACCCUGAUCCAGCGACGCCGCGUGAGGGAAGAAGGAUUUCGGUUUGUAAAGCUCUAUCAUCAGGGACGAAACAAGUGACGGUACCUGACGAAUAAGCCCCGGCUAAUUACGUGCCAGCAGCCGCGGUAAUACGUAGGGGGCAAGCGUUAUCCGGAUUUACUGGGUGUAAAGGGCGUGUAGACGGGGAAGCAAGUCUGAAGUGAAAUGCAGGGGCUCAACCCCUGGCCUGCAUUUGAAACUGUAUUGCUUGAGUGCAGGAGAGGUAGGUGGAAUUCCUAGUGUAGCGGUGAAAUGCGUAGAUAUUAGGAGGAACACCAGUGGCGAAGGCGGCUUACUGGACUGUAACUGACGUUGAGGCGCGAAAGCGUGGGGAGCAAACAGGAUUAGAUACCCGUGUAGUC